GACGAACGCUGGCGGCGUGCCUAAUACAUGCAAGUAGAACGCUGAAGCUUGGUGCUUGCACCGAGCGGAUGAGUUGCGAACGGGUGAGUAACGCGUAGGUAACCUGCCAGGUAGCGGGGGAUAACUAUUGGAAACGAUAGCUAAUACCGCAUAACAGUAGAUGUCGCAUGACAUUUGCUUAAAAGGUGCAAUUGCAUCACUACCAGAUGGACCUGCGUUGUAUUAGCUAGUUGGUGAGGUAACGGCUCACCAAGGCGACGAUACAUAGCCGACCUGAGAGGGUGAUCGGCCACACUGGGACUGAGACACGGCCCAGACUCCUACGGGAGGCAGCAGUAGGGAAUCUUCGGCAAUGGGGGCAACCCUGACCGAGCAACGCCGCGUGAGUGAAGAAGGUUUUCGGAUCGUAAAGCUCUGUUGUAAGAGAAGAACGAGUGUGAGAGUGGAAAGUUCACACUGUGACGGUAUCUUACCAGAAAGGG
rnacentral:rRNA from 1 species